GCGGAGGGUGCAAGCGUUGUUCCGAAUCACCGCGCGUCCCCCGCGCGCCGUCUCUUUCCCCCGCCACCCCCCAAAGCCCACGGCUUAACUGUGGAAGUCCAUUUGAAACUGUCAGACUUGAGUAUCAGAGGGGAAAGUGGAAUUCCCGGUGUAGAGGUGUAAUUCGUAGGUAUCGGGGGGGGGAGGUGGGGGGAGGGACGGGGGGGGGAGGAAGGGGGAAGAGGAGGAGAGAAAGAGGGGGGAGAAAAAAG
rnacentral:rRNA from 1 species